UUCAACUUGAAAUCACUAGUGGGUUAUUUGAAGCUUGAUUGACAUAUUUUACUGAAGGUCAGUAAUGGUUACCACCCAAGUUGUUUUAUAUUAAUCCAGACUAAAUUAAUCCGUUAGUAAUUUAUCAGGCAAACUGAAUUGAUAUAUUUAUUGACAGGACUUUUGGUGAGAAAAUGCGAGAAGUUCAUUGACCAAAUUUUUUUUUUAUUUAGACGAUCUAUAGACUAUGAUCUUCGACCGGAGUAAUAAAAAUAGCAAGCUUUUAUACCAUAUUUUACGUGACAUUAUAGAUUUGGAAUCACCUUGCUAUUUUGAUUAUCCCUGUACCUGUCGAAGACCACAGUCUAGUGGCCGAAAGCUCGUCUCAAAAUAAAUAAUAUUGGCCAAUAUGAACAUCUUGUAUUAUUGAAAGAAAUGCCUGUUAUCGUAGUGUUUAUGAUCCAUGCCCAUGGUAUGAAUAAGCUUCUCUUCAACGUCAAAUAGAUAUCAAAGUACAUUUCGUGUACUUCAGAAUACAGUUAUAAUUUCUUGU